GAUGGGACUACAGAUGCCCACCAUCACGCCCAGGAAACACAAGAGACCUAAGUGUUAAACAUCACCAUGGGAAUGCAAUCAGCAUGAUUCAGACUAUGAAAAACUACAUAACAACGCCAGUCUCAGAAGUAAUAAAGGAAAAAUAGCAACUUUACAGUGAAGAAAGCUGAAAGAUACCACCUCAAUGAAAUGAUCAAGCCCCUGCACUUGGAUCAGCUAGCACCACCCAGAUCGAUAAACUGGCUCAUCUGAUCUGUGGGCCCCCCACCCAGUGCAAGAGGAUAGCUUCAACUCUGUAUGAUUUUAUCUCUGACCCCACCAAUCGGCACUCUAGACUCACUGUCCCCCACCCACCAAAUUUUCCUUAAAAACCCUGAUCCCAAAUGCUUGGAGAGAUUGAUUUGAAUAAUAAUAAACUAAUCUCCUGUACAGCCGACUAUGUGUGAAUUACUCUUU
rnacentral:lncRNA from 1 species